GUGGGGAAUUUUGGACAAUGGGGGCAACCCUGAUCCAGCCAUGCCGCGUGCGGGAAGAAGGCCUUCGGGUUGUAAACCGCUUUUGUCAGGGAAGAAAUCCUUUGGGUUAAUACCUCGGAGGGAUGACGGUACCUGAAGAAUAAGCACCGGCUAACUACGUGCCAGCAGCCGCGGUAAUACGUAGGGUGCGAGCGUUAAUCGGAAUUACUGGGCGUAAAGCGUGCGCAGGCGGUUUUGUAAGAUCGAUGUGAAAUCCCCGGGCUCAACCUGGGAACUACAUUGGUGACUGCAAGGCUGGAGUGCGGCAGAGGGGGAUGGAAUUCCGCGUGUAGCAGUGAAAUGCGUAGAUAUGCGGAGGAACACCGAUGGCGAAGGCAAUCCCCUGGGCCUGCACUGACGCUCAUGCACGAAAGCGUGGGGAGCAAACAGGAUUAGAAACCCGGGUAGUCC
rnacentral:rRNA from 1 species